rnacentral:lncRNA from 1 species
UCUAUCACAGUCUCAGUGAGCGGGCAGGCACAGCAGCAGAGGACAACUGGCUGAAAAGCGACGAGACUGGCUCCUUUGACACCUAUGCAGAGGCUGGCCUCUGUCCUCAAGGAGCUUGCAGUCUGGUAGAGAAGUUGAGAACUGUCCAUGCAGAGUACCAACUAUACAAGGCAGCCUGUGACCAGAGAUUGAGGCAUACCUGCACUAGAAGCCAACGAGUCUCACAUCUACUCAUAACAAGCGAGUUUGCAUUGACGACUAGAAAAAUAUUUAACUCAAUGCUACUGGAAUUUCUCUGUCUGACAUUUUGAAAUAAUAGUUAAAAGAAGUGAUUUGGUCUCCCUGGAAGAGAAGGAAAAAGCUCAACUUGGAAGGUAUUGUGUCUCAGUGAUGAGAAAAAGUAACUAAGACAGUGCCUGACAACAAGAACUUUCACAGAAAAUUCUGCCAGACCCACAGCAGUACAUAAAGGCCACUACAGUCUUGCCCAAGAAGAUUUCUGCAAGGACAACUAUGCAGCAGCUGUCUGUUCUGCUUUGUUGGUGCCAACCUUGUUACUCAUCCUUGAACACUCUCAUUAUUAAUCCUAUGGCCAACAAUUCCUGUGUUAAAAUAGCUAAUGAAAUCCUCUGUAUUUGACCUUUAAAAACCUUCCUCCCCUAAACCUCCUUGAAUAUGCUCAUAGUUUACUAUGGAAUAUGUUCCCACAUUGCAGUGCUCUCUGCUCAUCCCGAAUAAACUCAUGAAUCUGUG